rnacentral:rRNA from 1 species
AGUGGCGGACGGGUGAGUAACGCGUGAGAAUCUGCCUUGGGGUCGGGGACAACCACUGGAAACGGUGGCUAAUACCGGAUAAGCCGAUUGGUGAAAGAUUUAUUGCCCGAAGAGGAGCUCGCGUCUGAUUAGCUAGUUGGUGAGGUAAGAGCUCACCAAGGCAGCGAUCAGUAGCGGGUCUGAGAGGACGAUCAGCCACACUGGGACUGAGACACGGCCCAGACUCCUACGGGAGGCAGCAGUGGGGAAUUUUCCGCAAUGGGCGAAAGCCUGACGGAGCAAGACCGCGUGAGGGAGGAAGGCUCUUGGGUUGUAAACCUCUUUUCUCAGGGAAGAAGCUCUGACGGUACCUGAGGAAUCAGCCUCGGCUAACUCCGUGCCAGCAGCCGCGGUAAUACGGAGGAGGCAAGCGUUAUCCGGAAUUAUUGGGCGUAAAGCGUCCGCAGGUGGCGAUUCAAGUCUGCUGUCAAAGCACGGGGCUUAACUCCGUAAAGGCAGUGGAAACUGAAUAGCUAGAGUGCCGUAGGGGUAGAGGGAAUUCCCGGUGUAGCGGUGAAAUGCGUAGAGAUCGGGAAGAACAUCGGUGGCGAAAGCGCUCUACUGGACGGCAACUGACACUCAGGGACGAAAAGCUAGGGGAGCGAAUGGGAUUAGAUACCCC